rnacentral:lncRNA from 1 species
CUGGCCAGUGCACCCCCACUCCCACCCUCAACCGCGGCCCCUGUAGGCCAAGGCGCCAGGCAGGACGACGGCAGCAGCAGCGCGUCUCCUUCAGUCCAGGGAGCUCCCAGGGAAGUGGUCGACCCCUCCGGUGGCUGGGCCACUCUGCUAGAGUCCAUCCGCCAAGCUGGGGGCAUCGGCAAGGCCAAGCUGCGCAGCAUGAAGGAGCGAAAGCUGGAGAAGAAGAAGCAGAAGGAGCAGGAGCAAGGUGAGCGGGCCCUGGAGCCUGCGGUCGGAGGGCCUUGGGCAAGAUCGCCUCCUCCCCUCCAGCCCUGAGUCCACUGGGUGCUUUCUGCCCACCCCCUGCUCUUGCCAGCUGGCCCCUGCUUCCCCUAGGGCACAUGCUGGAAGCCCUGGGCCGCCACCAGAAGUCCUCAGCCCUCCUGCCUGGGCUAUGGCUCCUUCCUGGUUUGGGAGCCAUAGUGAAGCUUUCCUCUCUAAGCUCACCCAGCCCAAACUGUGACAGGAGAAUCUUCUUCGACUGCCAAGAGCGGUCCAAGGCAAUGGUCAGCCACUGCAGCCCCCUGAGAUAUUUUUAGAGACUGGACCUGAGGCCUCUGGAGGCUACUGAUGAUGCCUGCUGUGAACGCAGACACUGGUGUGAUGCGAUGCCUGCGCCUGCAGCGGCAGUGCCCUGGGCACUAUGGUUUUGAGCUUGUACCCAGCGCUGCUUUUGCCUUGCUCUGUGACCCCAGGCAAGCUGCCUCACCUCUCUGGGCCAGUUUCCCCAUCGUACAGUGGUGCUGCACACCCUGGCCCUGGCCCCGAGGUGGCUGGGAGGUGGCUCCUCAAACAGCCGCUUUCUCAUCAGUGCCCGGUGCUGGGUCAGGGAUCGACUGAGGCUCUGAGCUAACUAGGAAACACAGUGGCCUUGGAGGGCUGGGGAGUGUCAUGGGGGUGGGGACAGGGAGCCACCGGUCGCAUGUGACUGAACUCUUCACCCCAGUCUGUGGCUUUCCCGUUGCAGUGAGAGCCACGAGCCAAGGUGGGCACUUGAUGUCGGAUCUCUUCAACAAGCUGGUCAUGAGGCGCAAGGGUAGGAGGCAGGGCCGCUGCCCGCCCUGGGUCGGCACCUUGUAAUUCUGUCCUGCCUUUUUCUUCCUGUAUUUAAGUCUCCGGGGGCUGGGGGAAUCAGGGUUUCCCACCAACCACCCUCACUCAGCCUUUUCCCUCCAGGCAUCUCUGGGAAAGGACCUGGGGCUGGUGAGGGGCCCGGAGGAGCCUUUGCCCGCGUGUCAGACUCCAUCCCUCCUGUGCCCCCACCGCAACAGCCACAGGCAGAGGAGGACGAGGACGACUGGGAAUCCUAGGGGGCUCCAUGACACCUUCCCCCCCAGACCCAGACUUGGGCUGUUGCUCUGACAUGGACACAGCCAGGACAAGCUGCUCAGACCUGCUUCCCUGGGAGGGGGUGACGGAACCAGCACUGUGUGGAGACCAGCUUCAAGGAGCGGAAGGCUGGCUUGAGGCCACACAGCUGGGGCGGGGACUUCUGUCUGCCUGUGCUCCAUGGGGGGACGGCUCCACCCAGCCUGCGCCACUGUGUUCUUAAGAGGCUUCCAGAGAAAACGGCACACCAAUCAAUAAAGAACUGAGCAGAAA